rnacentral:rRNA from 1 species
UACGUAGGGUGCAAGCGUUAAUCGGAAUUACUGGGCGUAAAGCGUGCGCAGGCGGUUAUGUAAGACAGGUGUGAAAUCCCCGGGCUCAACCUGGGAACUGCCUCUGUUACUGCAUAGCUAGAGUACGGUAGAGGGGGAUGGAAUUCCGCGUGUAGCAGUGAAAUGCGUAGAUAUGCGGAGGAACACCGAUGGCGAAGGCAAUCCCCUGGACCUGUACUGACGCUCAUGCACGAAAGCGUGGGGAGCAAACAGG